rnacentral:lncRNA from 1 species
CGCGCGUUCUUCGAGGCGGAUGCGGCCUGGGCGCGAGCGGAGAUAUGUGGACCUAGGGGUACAGGCCACCCGGAGUGUCCUGCACAAAGAAUGCGAUUAAGGAGAAUAACGCUUAGGAAAUCGCAGGAAGAUACGCCUCGAGAGCCGGAUCGGCUCCGGAUUCAAUGCGCCCGCAUUUAUUGGAGCCACCCGCAUCGGAACGACCGGGGGGCCGCAGUUUGGCUAUAAACAUAGGUGCAGGUGCGAUGGAGCCUGCCAAGCCGGAGCUGUUCAGGUUGCCAUGGAUCGUGGGCCGCUUCCGAGGGGCAGAGGCACUUUAAGAGGGAGGCGGUGAACGAGGUCCGAUACAGCCUCCCUUCAUAGAGUACGUAGUGGGCGGACUUCAUAACAAGUCGCCGAGCUUGAUCUUCGUCUUCAGGGAGGAUCCCUUCGGCGAGGUAGGCGACAAGCGGGUCCAUCCAAGACGGCUCCGGAUCAAUCGCCAUCACCGCUCCAGCCUCGCCGAUGCUCGGGGCAUCCAGGGUCUCCAGGUAGAUCGCCCUCGACAAGUUGUGCGCGUCUGCGCCCACUAAGCGGGACAACCUGUCGGCCCUGGCAUUUUCACUUCUUGGGACCUGCUGGAUGUCGACACUGCCGAGGUCGGAAUGAGUGCUU